rnacentral:rRNA from 1 species
UACGUAGGGUGCGAGCGUUGUCCGGAAUUACUGGGCGUAAAGGGCGCGUAGGCGGCGACUCUAGUCAGAUGUGAAAGUCCUGGGCUUAACCUGGGGACUGCAUUUGAUACUGGGUUGCUUGAAUUCGGGAGAGGAUAGCGGAAUUCCCAGUGUAGAGGUGAAAUUCGUAGAUAUUGGGAAGAACACCGGUGGCGAAGGCGGCUAUCUGGACCGACAUUGACGCUGAGGCGCGAAAGCGUGGGGAGCAAACAGG